UGGGGAAUUUUGGACAAUGGGGGAAACCCUGAUCCAGCCAUCCCGCGUGUGCGAUGAAGGCCUUCGGGUUGUAAAGCACUUUUGGCAGGAAAGAAACGUCGCGGGUUAAUACCCCGCGGAACUGACGGUACCUGCAGAAUAAGCACCGGCUAACUACGUGCCAGCAGCCGCGGUAAUACGUAGGGUGCAAGCGUUAAUCGGAAUUACUGGGCGUAAAGCGUGCGCAGGCGGUUCGGAAAGAAAGAUGUGAAAUCCCAGAGCUUAACUUUGGAACUGCAUUUUUAACUACCGGGCUAGAGUGUGUCAGAGGGAGGUGGAAUUCCGCGUGUAGCAGUGAAAUGCGUAGAUAUGCGGAGGAACACCGAUGGCGAAGGCAGCCUCCUGGGAUAACACUGACGCUCAUGCACGAAAGCGUGGGGAGCAAACAGGAUUAGAUACCCUGGUAGUCCACGCCCUAAACGAUGUCAACUAGCUGUUGGGGUCUUCGGACCUUGGUAGCGCAGCUAACGCGUGAAGUUGACCGCCUGGGGAGUACGGUCGCAAGAUUAAAACUCAAAGGAAUUGACGGGGUCGAUAGCUGUUUCCU
rnacentral:rRNA from 1 species